AAUAUUGUACAAUGGGCGAAAGCCUGAUCCAGCCAUGCCGCUUGUGUGAAGAAGGUCUUCGGAUUGUAAAGCACUUUAAGUUCGGCUGAAUGGUUGUAGGUUAAUACCCUCCACUUUUUACGUUACCAACAGAAUAAGCACCGGCUAACUUCGUGCCAGCCUCCGCGGUAAUACGAAGGGUGCAAGAGUUAAUCGGAAUUACUGGGCGUAAAGCGGGGGUAGGUGGUUCGGUAAGUUGGAAGUGAAAGCCACGGGCUUAACCUGGGAAUUGCUUUCAAAACUGACGAGCUAGAGUACGGUAGAGGGUAGUGGAAGUUCCUGUGUAGCGGUGAAAUGCGUAGAUAUAGGAAGGAACAUCAGUGGCGAAGGCGACUACCUGGACUGAUACUGACACUGAGGUGCGAAAGCGUGGGGAGCAAACAGG
rnacentral:rRNA from 1 species